rnacentral:tRNA from 1 species
GCAGUGGUGGUUCAGUGGUAGAAUUCUUUGCCUUCCAUGCGGGAGACCUGGGUUCGAUUCCCAGCCAGUGCA